rnacentral:rRNA from 1 species
AUACGGAUGGUGCAAGCGUUACUCGGAAUCACUGGGCGUAAAGCGCGCGCAGGCGGCUACUUAAGUUGGAUGUGAAAGCCUACGGCUCAACCGUAGAACUGCAUCCAAAACUAUUUAGCUAGAGUGUGGGAGAGGAAGAUGGAAUUAGUUGUGUAGGGGUAAAAUCCGUAGAGAUAACUAGGAAUACCAAAAGCGAAGGCAAUCUUCUGGAACACUACUGACGCUGAGGCGCGAAAGCGUGGGGAGCAAACGGGAUUAGAAACCCUUGUAGUCC